rnacentral:rRNA from 1 species
AUGGCGUCCCCGACCGCUGCGGCCUCCCCGACCGUUGCGGCCUCCCCGACCCGUGCCCUCGCUGACACCACCGCGCCCUCGCCGGCCUCCCCGCCGCGCCGCCUCGCCUCGGCGCCGCCCGGCGUGGACGCGUCCGCGGUCUCCUCCCCGGUAUCCGCCCACUCCGGGGACCUCUCCGCCUGCGAUGUCUCGAGCCCGUUCCUCGCUAGUAGGAGCGAGGAGUACAGGCUGAUGUUCCGGCUCCCACCGGACGAGGUCCUUGUGCAAGAUUUUAACUGCGCCCUCCAAGAAAAUAUUCUUCUUCAGGGGCAUAUGUAUUUAUUUCUACACCAUAUAUGCUUCUAUUCUAACAUUUUCGGAUACGAGACGAAGAAAACUAUACCUUUACAGGAUGUCACUGAUGUUCGUAAAGCAAAAACAGCUGCUAUUUUUCCUAACGCCAUAGAAAUUGUUGCUGGUGCGAAGAGGCAUUUUUUUGGAUCUUUCUUGGUGCGCGAUGAAGCUUAUCGUAUUAUAGUAGAUGGUUGGGAACAGCAUGUUAGCGAUGCUAGGUUGCUCAUUGAACGUCAGGAUGCAAAGUCAGCAAGCAGCAGUGACGAAAAUGGUUACAUUUUAUUGGAAGAAGGAAAAGAAUCUAAACAAGAUGAAGGCUCGUCGCCAUCGAACAGGUCUGCCAAUCCUACAGCUAUCAUCGGGGGUAGUACUGAUUGUGGUGAUCCAGAUGCCAGUACUUCUAAAAGAUUCUUAAAAGCGCCAGUGGAUGGAACCGAGGACAACCCUGGAUCUCUUAACCCAUUCAACUUGCAGCCGUUUGAUGAUGAUGCUCCUAAUGUACCUGAAUCAUAUACUUUGAUCACGGAGUCUAAGUUUCAGGUGCCUGUGGAAGUUUUCUUUAAUGUCUUACUCUCUGAUGGCGCCCUUGGCUUUCUGGAUGAUCUCCACAAAAAGUGUGGUGACAAAGAAUUUCGUUGUUCCAAUUGGCGUUUGUAUGAGCAAGGAGGACUUGUAAGAGAUGUCUCAUUCUUGCACCCAAUUAAAAUUUAUCUUGGUGCAAAAUUUGGGACAUGUCAGGAGGUUCAGAAGCUUCGUCUGUACAGAAACAGUCAUGUUGUGAUUCAGACAUCUCAAGAAAUUGGUGAUGCACCAUACGGGGACCAUUUCAUUGUUGAGGGAAUCUGGGAUGUUGAACAAGAUAGCGUAGAUGAGAACAGUUGCCACCUCAGGGUAUAUACUAAUGUAGCGUUCUCGAAGAGGACCAUUUUUAGAGGGAAAAUAGAGCAAUCAACAAAGGAUGAAUGCCGUGAGGUUUUUGGUCUCUGGAUCAAGCUUGCCCAUGAUAUUUUGAAGCAGGAUAGCAUCUCUCGGAAAGGAGCCUCCAUCACCAUGAACGCUGAUGUUGAAUCAGGGCCUAGUCUGAACAUUGAAGGUCCUUUGGAAAAUACAGUCGCAUACAUGGCUUCGGCACCAUACGAUUCUGGUUUGAGUAGCCUUGUUCCUCCCAUUGAACAUCGUCAACAAAGCGUAGGCACUUUGGCAUCCACUUCACAAGAAUUCUGGGGCUCACUCGCCUCAUAUAUGAGGUCUAGUCAAUUUGGUCCGGUUUUAGGAGUGAUGCUGGUGGCCAUCGUUAUCUUAAUGCAGGUAACAAUCAUCGUUCUGCUCAGUAGAUCCCCCAAGGUCCUCAUGGUCAGUCCCGAGGCUUCUGCGAGCGGCUUGGGUUCAUAUAGCAAGGAGAGCAUAGAGUGGUUGCAGAAGCGAGUGAGCUUACUGAGCGAGGAGAUGCACAUGGCGGAGGCGCACAUGGAGAAGAUGGGCCACGAGUUUGCAUGGCUCAAGUCUCACCUUGAAAGACUGGAGAGGUUGAGGAGCAGCUCAUGA